UUAAAAACUGUAAAUGGAGAAUCAAAAUGCCUUAAAAACUGCUUCUAUAAGUAAUGUUUCUGUAAGAAUAUUACUUCUGCUCUUAUAGAAAAUAAAAUGC